rnacentral:rRNA from 1 species
GUCUACAGCCAUGCUACCCUGAACAAGCCCAAUCCCAUCUGAUCUCAGAAGCUAAGCAGGGUCAGGCCUGGUUAGUACUUGGAUGGGAGACCACCUAGGAAGACCAAGUGCUAUAGGCA